GACUGGAUGGUCUAAUGGUCAUGAUUUUCCCUUCACACGGGAAAGGUUCCGGGUUCGAGACCCGGUCCGGUCA
rfam:Rhodotorula graminis WP1 unplaced genomic scaffold RHOBAscaffold_4, whole genome shotgun sequence.